AACCAGCACCUCAAGUGGUCAGGAGGAUUAUUGGGCCUAAAGCAUCCGUAGCCGGCUCUGUAAGUUUUCGGUUAAAUCCAUGUGCUCAACGCAUGGGCUGCCGAAAAUACUGCAUAGCUAGGGAGUGGGAGAGGUAGACGGUACUCGGUAGGAAGGGGUAAAAUCCUUUGAUCUAUCGAUGACCACCUGUGGCGAAGGCGGUCUACCAGAACACGUUCGACGGUGAGGGAUGAAAGCUGGGGGAGCAAUCCGG
rnacentral:rRNA from 1 species